GACGUAGGGCGCGAGCGUUGUCCGGAUUUAUUGGGCGUAAAGAGCUCGUAGGCGGCUUGUCGCGUCGACUGUGAAAAUCCAGGGCUCAACCCUGGACCUGCAUUCGAUACGGGCAGACUAGAGUUCGGCAGGGGAGACUGGAAUUCCUGGUGUAGCGGUGAAAUGCGCAGAUAUCAGGAGGAACACCGAUGGCGAAGGCAGGUCUCUGGGCCACUACUGACGCUGGAGAAG
rnacentral:rRNA from 1 species